UACGAGUGGCCCAAGCGUUAUCCGGAAUUAUUGGGCGUAAAGGAUGUGUAGGUGGUCGUAUUAGUCCGGUGUCUAACCUCUGAGCUCAACUUGGAGACAGCAUUGGAAACGGUACGGCUAGAGUAUGUUAGGGGUAAGCGGAACUCAUAGUGUAGGGGUGAAAUCCGUUGAUAUUAUGGGGAACACCAAAAGCGAAGGCAGCUUACUGGAACAUUACUGACACUGAAACAUGAAAGCGUGGGUAGCGAAUGGG
rnacentral:rRNA from 1 species